rnacentral:rRNA from 1 species
UACGUAGGGGGCAAGCGUUGUCCGGAAUUAUUGGGCGUAAAGAGCGCGUAGGCGGUCCGGUAAGUCGGUUGUGAAAGUCGGGGGCUCAACCCUCGGAUGCCGAUCGAUACUGUCGGGCUAGAGUCCGGAAGAGGCGAGUGGAAUUCCUGGUGUAGCGGUGAAAUGCGCAGAUAUCAGGAAGAACACCCGUGGCGAAAGCGGCGUUCUGGACUGCAACUGACACUGAGGAACGAAAGCCAGGGGAGCAAACGGG